rnacentral:rRNA from 1 species
AGGCGGACUGGUCAGUUAGGGGCGAAAUCCCGGGGCUCAACCCCGGAACUGCCUUUAAUACUGCCAGUCUUGAGUUCGAGAGAGGUGAGUGGAAUUCCGAGUGUAGAGGUGAAAUUCGUAGAUAUUAGGAGGAACACCAGUGGCGAAGGCGGCUCACUGGCUCGAUACUGACGCUGAGGUGCGAAAGCGUGGGGAGCAAACAGG